rnacentral:lncRNA from 1 species
GCGGCCUCGGCGGCGGCGGCGCACGCCCCUGGCCCAAGAGCGGGCGGACGGGGGAGGGGGCGGCAAGCGGAGAGGCCGCGAGGCCGGAAGAGAGGUCGCGGCUCAGGGGAGCUUGCCGGCAGAGCGUGCGGCGAAGCCGGCUCAGGGGGACCGGAAACAAUGCCGCACCACGUCCGUAGGGAAAUUCCUUCCCUUCCCUUCAAGUCUCCGCGGACUCUGGCGGGCGUGGGCUGCCUGCAGCUCCAGCUCUGGUGGGACAAGAACCUUCGAGGGGAAAGCACGGGCACACCAGGUCUGCAUUCCACUGUUCUUCGUGCAUAGUUCCUGUACAGACCUUGAAGUGGGACAAAAGGGCAGAAGUUGCAGCCAAAGGAGUCCUUAAAGGAUCAACUGAUAUUCAUUUACAUCUCAGGGGAAACUCCCUAUCUCAUGUGUUCUUAUUUCACACGCAGGAAAGGCAUCUUAAGUCAUUUCCUGACAUCCUUCAUACCCAGAGUCUACUCUCCCACUAUUGGCUGAAGGAAGUGCUGGCAGACUAGUGGAUCAAGUCGUCUCCCCAUUAGGUAAAGAAUGUGGCUUUCUCAAAAGACGACAGAGAGGAAACUAUAAUGGCCUGCCUAUUGUGAAGCUGGAAUAUCUCUAGGAAAAUCAGCACCUUAAAAAUAUGCAGCUCCAGGUUGAGGUUGAAACUGCUAGACAAAGCUGAAUGCAGCCAAUGCAAAGUCUUGAUCUGAAGUAAGCAGGCAUUAAAGCAACUCUUGCUUAGACUCCUCAGGUUCCUUUUUGAUUCUGUUAUACAGUUGUUUUCUCCUAUUUGAAUGUAGGUCCCUUUCCAGAUUUUUCUUUCCUUGACCAGUCUUUACUUGAUCUUUAAAGGUGAGAAUUUAGCAAUCUUCCGGCUUAAUAACUGGGGAAUGAUUUAUUCCAGCUGACUAUGCUGGGGACUUGGACUUCAGUCCCUUUUAGGGAUCAAUUAGUGCCUGAUGGACACAAGACAAUGACUUAAAAAAUUUAUUUUUAUUGUAGUGAGUAGUUCACCAUUGGAGUCACUUUGCUAGGUCUCCCUCUCAGGGUUCUAGGAGUCUGUCUGAAG